UCGUUUUGUACAAGAACUUUCAGUCGCCUUGCCUUCGUUUACUUCUAAUCAGUUGUCACUGCGGGCUUUUCUCUUAUCGUUGUUUGUUUUGCUUUUCAUACAACACCUUUGCUAAACUAGCAAUUGGCACAGUUGUUGUUGUUGUUGCUGGCACUAUUAUUUUUAUUGGGCCUCUGGCUUUGUUUAAACAAUUGUCUGAUGGUUACGAACGACUGCUGCGUCCGUUCUCUCGAAACGUUGGAUGAGUUCUGUGCGAUAGCGACAGUUUUUCGACUUGAAUAUGCCUCCGCCUCCGUUUCGCUCUGCCCUUUCUCCCUCUCCGGCUCUCCGUCGCUCCCGCUCUCUUUCCACUUUUCGCUGUCCACGCGUUGGCUACGUGAGCAGAAACGACGAAGUAGAUGGCACAACAACAAAGGCGGAGGCGAGGCGAGGCAUAAAGCACAGCAACAACAACUGGUUUUACAGCGCAGCAUAAAAAAGGGUACAGUGAACCCUCGAAUGUCGCCCAUACUACAGUCUAUACACAUUUGCCAAGAGUUUAUGAAAUAAAUGAAGACUAUCAAAUCACUUCUAUUUCCAUCUGAAGAAGCACCACUGUGGCCUCAGAGUCAAAACAAAAACAAAACAGAAAACAGCCGAUGCGCCGGUUCAUGGAGCGUGAGAGAGGAGGAAGCGGAGAGCCAGAGAGUUUCGCCGGCGAGAGAGUGAGCGCAGGGCACCCUGUAUCUGUAUCUGAAUCUGAAGCUCUAUGUGUAUGCGAUGGAUACAGGUUUUCGUUCAGUGUGCGUACGUGCGUUUAUUUUAUCGUUUUGUUUUUGUACGCAUUUUCUACAAAUGUUGUUUUGAUCCGCAUUGAAGUUCACACACCCACAAGGCAUCGAUCAUAGGGCGAAAACAGAUGUAACAGUAACCGAGCAUAAAAAAAGAGGCAAAACAAAACAACAUGUGAUUUUCGGCACGUAGGCCAUCCGAAGGAGAGCCGAAAAUGGAGAAACGUGGUGGAAAAACUUCAAAACAAAGAGAGUGGAUUAAGAAGAGAGAGAGAGAGAGAAAAUCGUGUUAAUGCUUAAAUAAGCCUAUAAAAAAUAUUACACAAAGAUAAAACUUCACAAAGAAAGAUACACUUGAAAAUUUGUGACAACAAAGUGACAAAACAAAAAGUGACAACAAAAACUGUUCAGUCCAAAAACAAUGACAAACAAGGCUUAAAUUGGAACUUGAACGAUAUAGUUCUGACCUUAAAUCAUUAUCAACCCAUAUAUCAUAUCAGAAGACCUUUAUGGCUUC